rnacentral:rRNA from 1 species
GACGAACGCUGGCGGCGUGCCUAAUACAUGCAAGUAGAACGCAGUUGCGAACGGGUGAGUAACGCGUAGGUAACUGCCUGGUAGCGGGGGAUAACUAUUGGGAACGAAAGCUAAUACCGCAUACUACCAGAUGGACCUGCGUUGUAUUAGCUAGUUGGUGGGGUAACGGCUCACCAAGGCAACGAUACAUAGCCGGCCUUGGAGGGUGGUCGGGCCAACUGGGAAUGGGACACGGCCCAGAAUCCUACGGGAGGCAGCAGGAGGGAAUCUUCGGCAAUUGGGGGAAACCUGACCGGGCAACGCCGCGGGAGUGAAGAAGGUUUUCGGAUCGUAAAGCUCUGUUGUUAAGGAAGCGGUACUUAACCAGAAAGGGACGGCUAACUACGUGCCAGCAGCCGCGGUAAUAC